ACAGGUGGUCUUGGUCUGUAUGCUGUGGACAUCCACUGGUUGUCUUGGUCUGUAUGCUGGUGGACAUCCACUGGUUGUCUUGAACUGUAUGCUGGUGGACAUCCACUGGUUGUCUUGGUCUGUAUGCUGUGGACAUCCACUGGUUGUCUUGGUCUGUAUGCUGGUGGACAUCCACUGGUUGUCUUGGUCUGUAUGCUGGUGGACAUCCACUGGUUGUCUUCACCUGUAUGCUGGUGGACAUCCACAGGUUGUCUUGGUCUGUAUGCUGGUGGACAUCCACAGGUUGUCUUGGUCUGUAUGCUGGUGGACAUCCACUGGUGGUCUUGGUCUGUAUGCUGGUGGACAUCCACUGGUUGUCUUCACCUGUAUGCUGGUGUAUAUCUAGUUAUGACAUAACUACAAUGGCUAUUCAUACUGUUUUAGGUAUGUUUUGUGCUAUGACUGAUACUAUUGUACUUGCUUAUUACCAUAUAUUGAUUAUUAAUCUGUCAGACAAUAUUUGGAGAAAUAAACUCUAAGACACC